AGAGUUUGAUCAUGGCUCAGGAUGAACGCUAGCUACAGGCUUAACACAUGCAAGUCGAGGGGAAACGACAUCGAAAGCUUGCUUUUGAUGGGCGUCGACCGGCGCACGGGUGAGUAACGCGUAUCCAACCUGCCCACCACUUGGGGAUAACCUUGCGAAAGUAAGACUAAUACCCAAUGAUAUCUCUAGAAGACAUCUGAAAGAGAUUAAAGAUUUAUCGGUGAUGGAUGGGGAUGCGUCUGAUUAGCUUGUUGGCGGGGUAACGGCCCACCAAGGCAACGAUCAGUAGGGGUUCUGAGAGGAAGGUCCCCCACAUUGGAACUGAGACACGGUCCAAACUCCUACGGGAGGCAGCAGUGAGGAAUAUUGGUCAAUGGGCGAGAGCCUGAACCAGCCAAGUAGCGUGCAGGAAGACGGCCCUAUGGGUUGUAAACUGCUUUUAUAAGGGAAUAAGGUGAGUCUCGUGAGACUUUUUGUAUGUACCUUAUGAAUAAGGACCGGCUAAUUCCGUGCCAGCAGCCGCGGUAAUACGGAAGGUCCGGGUGUGGUCCGGAUUUAUUGGGUUUAAAGGGAGCGUAGGCCGGAGAUUAAGCGUGUUGUGAAAUGUAGACGCUCAACGUCUGCACUGCAGCGCGAACUGGUUUCCUUGAGUACGCACAAAGUGGGCGGAAUUCGUGGUGUAGCGGUGAAAUGCUUAGAUAUCACGAAGAACUCCGAUUGCGAAGGCAGCUCACUGGAGCGCAACUGACGCUGAAGCUCGAAAGUGCGGGUAUCGAACAGGAUUAGAUACCCUGGUAGUCCGCACGGUAAACGAUGGAUGCCCGCUGUUGGUCUGAACAGGUCAGCGGCCAAGCGAAAGCAUUAAGCAUCCCACCUGGGGAGUACGCCGGCAACGGUGAAACUCAAAGGAAUUGACGGGGGCCCGCACAAGCGGAGGAACGUGUGGUUUAAUUCGACGCAACGCGAAGAACCUUACCAAGUCUUGACAUCCGUUGACCGACAUAGAAAUAUGUUUUUCCUUCGGGACAGCGAGACAGGUGGUGCAUGGUUGUCGUCAGCUCGUGUCGUGAGAUGUUGGGUUAAGUCCCGCAGCGAGCGCAACCCUUAUGGUCAGUUACUACGCAAGAGGACUCUGGCCAGACUGCCGUUGACAAAACGGAGGAAGGUGGGGAUGACGUCAAAUCAUCAUGCCCUUUAUGACUUGGGCUACACACGUACUACAAUGGCGUUAAACAAAGAGAAGCAAGACCGCGAGGUGGAGCAAAACUCAGAAACAACGUCCCAGUUCGGACUGCAGGCUGCAACUCGCCUGCACGAAGUCGGAAUUGCUAGUAAUCGUGGAUCAGCAUGCCACGGUGAAUACGUUCCCGGGCCUUGUACACACCGCCCGUCACACCAUGAGAGCCGGGGGGACCCGAAGUCGGUAGUCUAACCGCAAGGAGGACGCCGCCGAAGGUAAAACUGGUGAUUGGGGUGAAGUCGUAACAAGGUA
rnacentral:rRNA from 1 species